GUGUGGAUAGAGGAAAAGUAUUCAGAAAAGCCAAAGAAUUGAUGCUUUUGAACAGUGGUGCUGGAAAAGACUCUGGAGAGUCUCUUGGACUGCAAGAAGAUUCUAUCAGUCCAUCCUAAAGGAAAUCAGUCCUAAAUAUUCAUUGGAAGGACUGAUGCUGAAGCUGAAACUCCUGUACUUUGGCCACCUGAUGUAAAGAACUGACUCACUGGAAAAAACCCUGAUGCUGGGAAACACUGAAGGCAGGAGGAGAAGGGGACAACAGAGGAUGAGAUGGUUGGAUGGCAUCACUGACUCAAUGGAUAUCAGUUUGAGUCAACUCUGGUAGUUUGUGAUGGACAGGGAGGCCAGGUGUGCUGGAGUCCAUGGGGUUGCAAAGAGUUGGACACAACUGAGUGACCGAACUGAUGCAGAUGAAGUCAAUCAUCAUCAAGAUGAGUAGUUUAAUCACAACAGUGGUGAUUUUGCUUGGGCCACACCCUAGCAUUACCAGGACAUUUUAAACACCUGGACAGCACCCAAACCAAUUAAAUCAGAAUCUGGAGGUGGUUCCAAGUGUCAGUAUUUCAAAAGCUCUGGAAAUGGUGCAGUGCGUAAAUAAGGCUGAGCACCCAUGAACUAAGGAUUUGAAAUAGUUCAACUGGAAUUCCAUCACCUCCACUAGCUUUGUUCGUCGUGAUGCUUCCUAAGGCCCACUUGACUUCACAUUCCAGGAUGUCUGGCUCUAGGGGAUUUUUCUGAUCUAAGGAUCGAACCCACAUCUCCUGCAUUGGCAGAUGGAUUCUUUACCACCGAGCCAUGAGUCACUCAGUUGCAUUCAACUCUUUGUGACCCCAUGGACUGUAGCCUGCCAGUCUCCCCGGUCCAUGGGGUUUCCAAAGCAAAAAUACUGGAGCGGGUUGCCAUUCCCUUCUCCAGGGGAUCUUCCUGACCCAGUGAUUGAACCUGUGGAAUCUCUACCACUGAGCUACCUGGGAAGCCAAUAUAUGUCAACUGGAUUAGGAGGCAGAAGCAUUCUGUGUACAUUUCUCUCCACUGAUUUUACGUUCCAUCUCCUAAACUCAGAUUACUCAUAUGUGUCAUUUCCUUUAUGCUCUCCUAGAGAUGUCUUCUUUCUAAUGUAAUAAGUGCUAC
ensembl:lncRNA